UACGUAGGGUGCAAGCGUUGUCCGGAAUUAUUGGGCGUAAAGAGCUCGUAGGCGGUCUGUCGCGUCGGCUGUGAAAUCCCGAGGCUCAACCUCGGGUCUGCAGUCGAUACGGGCAAACUUGAGUGUUGCAGGGGAGACUGGAAUUCCUGGUGUAGCGGUGAAAUGCGCAGAUAUCAGGAGGAACACCGGUGGCGAAGGCGGGUCUCUGGGCAACAACUGACGCUGAGGUGCGAAAGCGUGGGGAGCAAACAGG
rnacentral:rRNA from 1 species